GAGGAGGUAAAGAAGGUGAGGCAAAUGAAGACUGUUGCCUUCACUGAUACCCACCUCCCAAAUUAAAGUAGCAGACAGAACAUCCGUGGUCUACAAGAAAAAGCCUUGGAUUACUGCAUCUGCUUACAAAG
rnacentral:snoRNA from 1 species